AGCAGCCGCGGUAAUUCCAGCUCCAAUAGCGUAUAUUAAAGUUGUUGCAGUUAAAAGCUCGUAGUUGAAUUUCGGGGUCUGUCCAUUGGUCGGGCUUCACGGUCCGUACUGGUGUGAUGGGUUCCUACCUUCUGAAUAACCAGCAUGCCAUUCAGUUGGUGCGCCGGGGAAGCAGAGCUAUUACCUUGAAAAAAUUAGAGUGCUUAAAGCAGGCUAGUGCUUGAAUAGAUUAGCAUGGAAUAAUAAAAUAGGACGGCAUGGUUCUAUUUUGUUGGUUUCUAGGAUCACCGUAAUGAUUAAUAGGGAUAGUUGGGGGCAUUAGUAUUCAAUUGUCAGAGGUGAAAUUCUUGGAUUUAUUGAAGACUAACUUCUGCGAAAGCAUUUGCCAAGGAUGUUUUCAUUAAUCAAGAACGAAAGUUAGGGGAUCGAAGACGAUCAGAUACCGUCGUAGUCUUAACCAUAAACUAUGCCGACUAGGGAUCGGACGAUGUUAAUUUUUAAUGACUCGUUCGGCGCCUUA
rnacentral:rRNA from 1 species